AUUGCACGCUGGCUGCACGCCUAACACAUGCAAGUCGAGCUAGCGGCGGACGGGUGAGUUAUGUCUGGGACACUGCGUGAUGGAGGGGGAUAACUACUGGAAACGGUAGCUCAUACCGCAUACUCUCAGGUGCGCCCAGAUGGGAUUAGCUAGUAGGGGGUGUAACGGCUCACCUAGGCGACGACCCCUAGCUGGUCGGAGAGGAUGACCGGCCACACUGGAACUGAGACACGGUCCAGACUCCGACGGGAGGCAGCAGUGGGGAAUAUUGCACAAUGGGCGCAAGCCUGAUGCAGCCAUGCCGCGUGUGUGAAGAAGGCCUUCGGGUUGUAAAGCACUUUCAGCGGGGAGGCGUUACCCGCAGAAGAAGCACCUGCUAACUCCGUGCCAGCAGCCGCGGUAAUAC
rnacentral:rRNA from 1 species